rnacentral:rRNA from 1 species
GACGAACGCUGGCGGCGUGCUUAACACAUGCAAGUCGAACGGAAAGGCCCUGCUUGCAGGGUACUCGAGUGGCGAACGGGUGAGUAACACGUGGGUGAUCUGCCCUGCACUUCGGGAUAAGCCUGGGAAACUGGGUCUAAUACCGGAUAUGACCUUCCAUGUAGUGUGGGGGGUGGAAAGAUUUAUCGGUGUGGGAUGAGCCCGCGGCCUAUCAGCUUGUUGGUGGGGUAAUGGCCUACCAAGGCGUCGACGGGUAGCCGGCCUGAGAGGGUGGACGGCCACAUUGGGACUGAGAUACGGCCCAGACUCCUACGGGAGGCAGCAGUGGGGAAUAUUGCACAAUGGGCGGAAGCCUUAUGCAGCGACGCCGCGUUGGGGAUGACGGCCUUCGGGUUGUAAACCUCUUUCGACAGGGACGAAGCUUCGGUGACGGUACCUGUAUAAGAAGCACCGGCUAACUACGUG